rnacentral:rRNA from 1 species
CAACGGAGAGUUUGAUCCUGGCUCAGGACGAACGCUGUCGGCGUGCCUAACACAUGCAAGUCAAAGGGAAGCAGCUUCGGCUGUGAGUACUUGGCGCAAGGGUGAGUAAUGUAUAGGUAAUCUGCCCUUAGGACUGGCAUAACCUCGAGAAAUCGAGGACAAUACCAGAUGAUGCAGCGGGACCGCAUGGUCAUGUUGUUAAAGAUUUAUCGCCUAAGGAUGAACCUAUAUCCCAUCAGGUAGUUGGCAGGAUAAUAGCCUACCAAGCCUACGACGGGUAGCUGGUCUGAGAGGAUGAUCAGCCACAUUGGGACUGAGACACGGCCCAGACUCCUACGGGAGGCAGCAGCAGGGAAUUUUGCGCAAUGGGCGAAAGUCUGACGCAGCAACGCCGCGUGGAUGAUGAAGGCCUUAGGGUCGUAAAAUCCUUUUCUUGGGGAAGAAGCUCUGACGGUACCCAAGGAAUAAGCCUCGGCUAAUCACGUGCCAGCAGCCGCGGUGAUACGUGAGAGGCAAGCGUUAUCCGGAAUUAUUGGGCGUAAAGGGCG